AUUGAACGCUGGCGGCAUGCCUUACACAUGCAAGUCGAACGGUAACAGGUCUCGGAUGCUGACGAGUGGCGAACGGGUGAGUAAUACAUCGGAACGUGCCCGAUCGUGGGGGAUAACGAAGCGAAAGCUUUGCUAAUACCGCAUACGAUCUACGGAUGAAAGCAGGGGACCGCAAGGCCUUGCGCGAACGGAGCGGCCGAUGGCAGAUUAGGUAGUUGGUGGGAUAAAGCUUACCAAGCCGACGAUCUGUAGCUGGUCUGAGAGGACGACCAGCCACACUGGGACUGAGACACGGCCCAGACUCCUACGGGAGGCAGCAGUGGGGAAUUUUGGACAAUGGGCGAAAGCCUGAUCCAGCCAUGCCGCGUGCAGGAUGAAGGCCUUCGGGUUGUAAACUGCUUUUGUACGGAACGAAAAGACUCUGGUUAAUACCUGGGGUCCAUGACGGUACCGUAAGAAUAAGCACCGGCUAACUACGUG
rnacentral:rRNA from 1 species